rnacentral:rRNA from 1 species
GGAGGGUGCAAGCGUUGUCCGGAUUUAUUGGGUUUAAAGGGUGCGUAGGCGGCUAUUUAAGUCAGUGGUCGAAAUCCUGCAGCUCAACUGUAGAACAGCCAUUGAUACUGAAUAGCUUGAGUACAGACGAGGUAGGCGGAAUUUAUGGUGUAGCGGUGAAAUGCAUAGAUACCAUAAAGAACCCCUAUUGCGAAGGCAGCUUACUAGGCUGUAACUGACGCUGAGGCACGAAAGCGUGGGGAUCAAACAGGAUUAGAUACCCUGGUAGUCCACGCCGUAAACGAUGAUUACUCGAUGUUCGCGAUAUACAGUGAGCGUCCAAGCGAAAGCGUUAAGUAAUCCACCUGGGAAGUACGAUCGCAAGAUUG